rnacentral:rRNA from 1 species
AAGAAAGUAAUUAAGAGCGCAUGGAGGAUGCCUAGGCUCUCAGAGGCGAUGAAGGACGUGAUAAGCUGCGAUAAGCUACGGGGAUUGGCAAAUACAAGUUGAUCCGUAGAUUUCCGAAUGGGACAACCCACUAUAUUGAAGAUAUAGUAUUCCGCAAGGAAAGCAAACCCGGUGAACUGAAACAUCUAAGUAACCGGAGGAGAAGAAAACAACAGUGAUUGCGCAAGUAGUGGCGAGCGAACGCGCAUUAGCCCAAACCAGAGUUGUUACGGCAACUUUGGGGUUAUAGGACUACGAUAUUGACUUAUAAUUUAUAGUAGAAGUGAUUUGGAAAGGUCCACAAUAUAGGGUGAGAGUCCCGUAUACGAAAUAGAUUAUAUACAUAGUAGUAUCCUGAGUACUGCGGGGUCGGAGACGCCCUGUAGGAAUUUGGCGGCACCAUCCGCUAAGGCUAAAUACUCCUGAGAGACCGAUAGCGAACUAGUACUGUGAAGGAAAGGUGAAAAGAACCGCGAACAGCGGAGUGAAAUAGAUCCUGAAACCGUGCGCUUACAAGCGGUCGGAGCCCUUACGUGGGGUGACGGCGUGCCUUUUGCAUAAUGAACCUACGAGUUGCUCUUCACUAGCGAGGUUAAGGGCUUAAGGUCCGUUAACCGCAGCGAAAGCGAGUCUGAAUAGGGCGUAUAGUUAGUGGAGGCAGACGCGAAACCUUGUGAUCUACCCUUGGCCAGGUUGAAGUGAUGGUAACACAUCAUGGAGGACCGAACUGAUAAGCGUUGAAAAGCUUCCGGAUGAGCUGAGGGUAGGGGUGAAAGGCUAAUCAAACUGGGAAAUAGCUCGUACUCCCCGAAAUGCCUUUAGGGGCAGCGUAGAAAUUGAGUCUUAUGGAGGUAGAGCUACUGAUUGGAUGCGGGGGAAGCGAUUCCUACCAAGUCCUGACAAACUCCGAAUGCCAUAAGAUAUGUUCUGCAGUGAGCCGGCGGGUGCUAAGGUCCGUCGACGAGAGAGGGAGAACUCAGACCAUCAGCUAAGGCCCCCAAAUCUAUGCUAAGUUGAUCUAACGAAGUUGGGUCGCAUUGACAGCCAGGAUGUUUGCUUGGAAGCAGCCAUUCAUUUAAAGAGUGCGUAACAGCUCACUGGUCGAGCGACCCGGCGUGGAUGAUACUCGGGCAUCAAGCAUAGUGCCGAAGCUAUGGAUUUUAUAUGUUGAAUAUAAAGUGGUAGGGGAGCAUUCUAAUAACGUAGAAGGAGCAUCGUAAGAGCUACUGGAGUGAUUAGAAAAGCAAAUGUAGGUAUAAGUAACGAUAAGGCCGGCGAGAAACCGGCCCGCCGAUAGACUAAGGUUUCCUGAACAACGCUAAUCGGUUCAGGGUCAGUCGGGACCUAAGGCGAAGCCGAACGGCGUAGUCGAUGGACAACUGGUUAAUAUUCCAGUACUUGCUCUACUGUGAUGAGGAGACGGAGAAAUGAAAGUGCUGCGUACUGACGGAAUAGUACGUUGAAGGGUGUAGGUAUAUUUUUGGUAGGAAAAUCCGCCAGAGAUGCUGAAGCCUGAUAGUACCUUGAGUCGUAAGACAAGAGGAUAUGCACCUAAGUCAGCUUCCAAGAAAAUCCUCUAAACUUCAGGUAGAAGCAACCCGUACCGCAAACCGACACAGGUAGUCAAGGAGAGAAUCCUGAGGCGCUCGAGUGAACCGUGGUUAAGGAACUAGGCAAAUUGACCCUGUAACUUCGGGAUAAAGGGUGCCCACAGUAAUGUGGGCCGCAGUGAAAUGGCGAUGGCGACUGUUUAACAAAAACACAUGGCUUUGCGAAAUCGAAAGAUGAAGUAUAAGGCCUGACACCUGCCCGGUGCCGGAAGGUUAAGAGGAGAUGUUAGAAGCAAUUCGAAGCAUUGAAUUGAAGCCCCGGUAAACGGCGGCCGUAACUAUAACGGUCCUAAGGUAGCGAAAUUCCUUGUCGGGUAAGUUCCGACCUGCACGAAUGGUGUAACGAUCUUCGCACUGUCUCAACCACGAGCUCGGUGAAAUUGUGGUAUCAGUGAAGACGCUGAUUACCCGUCACGGGACGGAAAGACCCCAUGCACCUUCACUAUAGUUUAACAUUGACGCUGGAUAAUUGAUGUGUAGAAUAGGUGGGAGGCUUUGAAGCAGCGGCGCUAGCCGUUGUGGAGCCACCGUUGAAAUACCACCCUUUAAUUAUUUGGCGUCUAACUCCGCAGGGAGGACAUUGUUUGAUGGGUAGUUUGACUGGGGUGGUCGCCUCCGAAAGAGUAUCGGAGGCUUUCAAAGAUUCGCUCAGUACGCUUGGUAACCGUACGUAGAGUGCAAUAGCAUAAGCGAGUUUGACUGUGAGGCCGACAAGCCAAGCAGGGUCGAAAGACGGAUAUAGUGAUCCGGCGGUUCCGCAUGGAAGGGCCGUCGCUCAUAGGAUAAAAGGUACGCUGGGGAUAACAGGCUGAUCCCUCCCAAGAGCUCACAUCGACGGGGGGGUUUGGCACCUCGAUGUCGGCUCGUCACAUCCUGGGGCUGGAGAAGGUCCCAAGGGUUCGGCUGUUCGCCGAUUAAAGUGGCACGCGAGCUGGGUUCAGAACGUCGUGAGACAGUUCGGUCCCUAUCUGUGAUGGGCGUUAGAAAAUUGAGAGGAGCUGACUCUAGUACGAGAGGACCGAGUCGGACAAACCGCUAGUGUACCAGUUGUGGCGCCAGCUGCAUCGCUGGGUAGCUAUGUUUGGAUGAGAUAAGCGCUGAAAGCAUCUAAGUGCGAAACUCGCCUCAAGAUAAGUUUUCUUUAUAAGGAUCGUGGAAGACUACCACGUUGAUAGGCUACAGGUGUAAAGGCAGCAAUGUCAAAGCCGAGUAGUACUAAUUGUCCGUAAACUUUCUGUU